rnacentral:rRNA from 1 species
AGCGAACGCUGGCGGCAGGCUUAACACAUGCAAGUCGAGCGCCCCGCAAGGGGGACGGCAGACGGGAGAGUAACACGUGGGAACAUACUUUUUGGUUCGGAACAACUGAGGGAAACUUCAGCUAAUACCGGAUAAGCCCUUACGGGGAAAGAUUUAUCUCCGAAAGAUUGGCCCGCGUCUGAUUGGCUAGUUGGCGAGGUAACGGCUCACCAAGGCGACGAUCAGUAGCUGGUCUGAGAGGAUGAUCAGCCUCACUGGGAAUGAGACACGGCCCAGACUCCUACGGGAGGCAGCAGAGGGGAAUAUUGGACAAUGGGGGCAACCCUGAUCCAGCCAUGCCGCGUGAGUGAUGAAGGCCUUAGGGUUGUAAAGCUCUUUUGCCCGGGAAGAUAAUGACGGUACCGGGAGAAUAAGCCCCGGCUAACUUCGUG